rnacentral:lncRNA from 1 species
AGAACUCAGCUCAGGUAGCUGCGACCGCCUGGACCAUCUCAGGCCCUGAAGAUGCAGCAGGCCCCACAGUUGCGGCUGGGAUGGGCUCUUGAGGUGCUUCAGAGUGUGCUCGGGGUCCACACCUGGUUGCUCCACUGAGUGAGGUAGCUACUCUGACCAACCGAUGACCUCGAUAGCCGGUGGUGGGGUCUGUUCGGCCUCCAGGACUCCCAAGGGCGCAGGUGUCCCCAGGUCGGAACAGUGAAUCAGAGCUGUCACCGCCACCUGCAGUGGCAUCGACUCAGCAGCUGGCAUCUCAACUUGGGCCAAGCCCUCAGCUACGCUACCUGGGACCGCCUCAAUCCCCUCCGGCCCUGAAGGUGGAGCAGGCCUCACAGUUGGUCCCGGGCUUGGCUCUUUGGUGGUUCAGGCUGUUGCUCAGCUUAGGACGCUGGUUGCUCCCCUG